rnacentral:rRNA from 1 species
GACGAACGCUGGCGGCGUGCUUAACACAUGCAAGUCGAACGGAAAGGCCCUGCUUUUGUGGGGUGCUCGAGUGGCGAACGGGUGAGUAACACGUGAGUAACCUGCCCUUGACUUUGGGAUAACUUCAGGAAACUGGGGCUAAUACCGGAUAGGAGCUCCUGCUGCAUGGUGGGGGGUGGAAAGUUUCGGCGGUUGGGGAUGGACUCGCGGCUUAUCAGCUUGUUGGUGGGGGAGUGGCUUACCAAGGCUUUGACGGGUAGCCGGCCUGAGAGGGUGACCGGCCACCUUGGGACUGAGAUACGGCCCAGACUCCUACGGGAGGCAGCAGUGGGGAAUAUUGCACAAUGGGCGGAAGCCUGAUGCAGCAACGCCGCGUGCGGGAUGACGGCCUUCGGGUUGUAAACCGCUUUCGCCUGUGACGAAGCGUGAGUGACGGUAAUGGGUAAAGAAGCACCGGCUAACUACGUG